rnacentral:rRNA from 1 species
UCAGGCCUAACACAUGCAAGUCGAGCGCAUCCUUCGGGAUGAGCGGCGGACGGGUGAGUAACGCGUGGGAAUGUGCCCUUCUCUACGGAAUAGCCACUGGAAACGGUGAGUAAUACCGUAUACGCCCUCAGGGGGAAAGAUUUAUCGGAGAAGGAUCAGCCCGCGUUAGAUUAGGUAGUUGGUGGGGUAACGGCCUACCAAGCCUACGAUCUAUAGCUGGUUUUAGAGGAUGAUCAGCCACACUGGGACUGAGACACGGCCCAGACUCCUACGGGAGGCAGCAGUAGGGAAUCUUGGACAAUGGGGGCAACCCUGAUCCAGCCAUGCCGCGUGAGUGAAGAAGGCCCUAGGGUCGUAAAGCUCUUUCGCCUGUGAUGAUAAUGACAGUAGCAGGUAAAGAAACCCCGGCUAACUCCGUGCCAGCAGCCGCGGUAAUACGGAGGGGGUUAGCGUUGUUCGGAAUUACUGGGCGUAAAGCGCGCGCAGGCGGAUUGGAAAGUUGGGGGUGAAAUCCCGGGGCUCAACCCCGGAACUGCCUUCAAAACUCCCAGUCUAGAGUUCGAGAGAGGUGAGUGGAAUUCCGAGUGUAGAGGUGAAAUUCGUAGAUAUUCGGAAGAACACCAGUGGCGAAGGCGGCUCACUGGCUCGAUACUGACGCUGAGGUGCGAAAGUGUGGGGAGCAAACAGGAUUAGAUACCCU